rnacentral:rRNA from 1 species
GACGAACGCUGGCGGCGUGCUUAACACAUGCAAGUCGAACGAAGUGGCGAACGGGUGAGUAACGCGUAAUCAACCUGCACUUACGAGGUGGAGAAGAGUAGGAAACGACUGCUAAUGCCGCAAACUGAAGGACGGGAUUGCGUUGGAUUAGAUAGUUGGUGGGGUAAUGGCCAACCAAGGCGAUGAUCAGUAGCCGGUCUGAGAGGGUGAUCGGCCACAUUGGGACUGAGACACGGCCCAGACUCCUACGGGAGGCAGCAGUGGGGAAUCUUCCGCAAUGGACGAAAGUCUGACGGAGCAACGCCGCGUGAGUGAUGACGGCCUUCGGGUUGUAAAGCUCUGUUAAUCGGGACGCGGUACCGGAAUAGAAAGCCACGGCUAACUACGUGCCAGCAGCCGCGGUAAUUC